rnacentral:snoRNA from 1 species
CACCUUUCAGGGUCGCAACUAGAGAGUUUCCAGUACUCUACCAGUCUCGGCUGCAGGAGGGAGAGUCAAGCAGAGGCCUGUCCGUUCCAUUCCUAGCUUGGCCAGUGGCUAGCGAGUGGAAGGCAAUCUGCUACACGU